CCCUUAGAUGUUCUGGGCUGCACGCGCGCUACACUGACGCACGCAACAGGUGCCUGCUCCGAGAGGACUGGGUAAUCAUUUGAGUGUGCGUCGUGAUGGGGAUAGAAUAUUGUAAUUAUUACUCUUCAACGAGGAAUUCCUAGUAAGCGCCAGUCAGCAGCUUGCGCUGAUUACGUCCCUGCCCUUUGUACGCACCGCCCGUCGCUCCUACCGAUGGGUGAUCCGGUGAAUGAUUCGGACUUCAGCGGCUCCCCUGGGGUGCGCCGGAGAAAGUUUUGUGAACCUUAUCACUUGGAGGAAGGAGAAGUCGUAACA
rnacentral:rRNA from 1 species